AGUGAACGCUGGCGGUAGGCCUAACACAUGCAAGUCGAACGGCAGCACAGUAAGAGCUUGCUCUUACGGGUGGCGAGUGGCGGACGGGUGAGGAAUACAUCGGAAUCUACUUUUUCGUGGGGGAUAACGUAGGGAAACUUACGCUAAUACCGCAUACGACCUACGGGUGAAAGCAGGGGAUCUUCGGACCUUGCGCGAUUGAAUGAGCCGAUGUCGGAUUAGCUAGUUGGCGGGGUAAAGGCCCACCAAGGCGACGAUCCGUAGCUGGUCUGAGAGGAUGAUCAGCCACACUGGAACUGAGACACGGUCCAGACUCCUACGGGAGGCAGCAGUGGGGAAUAUUGGACAAUGGGCGCAAGCCUGAUCCAGCCAUACCGCGUGGGUGAAGAAGGCCUUCGAGUUGUAAAGCCCUUUUGUUGGGAAAGAGAAGCAGCAGGUUAAUACCCCGCUGUUCUGACGGUACCCAAAGAAUAAGCACCGGCUAACUUCGUG
rnacentral:rRNA from 1 species